UACGGAGGGUGCAAGCGUUAAUCGGAAUUACUGGGCGUAAAGCGUGCGCAGGCGGUUUUGUAAGUCUGACGUGAAAUCCCCGGGCUCAACCUGGGAAUUGCGUUGGAGACUGCAAGGCUAGAAUCUGGCAGAGGGGGGUAGAAUUCCACGUGUAGCAGUGAAAUGCGUAGAGAUGUGGAGGAAUACCGAUGGCGAAGGCAGCCCCCUGGGAUAACACUGACGCUCAUGCACGAAAGCGUGGGGAGCAAACAGG
rnacentral:rRNA from 1 species